rnacentral:rRNA from 1 species
AUUGAACGCUGGCGGAAUGCUUUACACAUGCAAGUCGAACGGCAGCACGGACUUCGGUCUGGUGGCGAGUGGCGAAUGGGUGAGUAAUGUAUCGGAACGUGCCCAGUCGUGGGGGAUAACGUAGUGAAAAUUACGCUAAUACCGCAUACGAUCUAUGGAUGAAAGCGGGGGAUCGCAAGACCUCGCGCGAUUGGAGCGGCCGAUAGCAGAUUAGGUAGUUGGUGGGGUAAAGGCCCACCAAGCCAACGAUCUGUAGCUGGUCUGAGAGGACGAGCAGCCACACUGGAACUGAGACACGGUCCAGACUCCUACGGGAGGCAGCAGUGGGGAAUUUUGGACAAUGGGCGAAAGCCUGAUCCAGCCAUUCCGCGUGCAGGAUGAAGGCCCUCGGGUUGUAAACUGCUUUUGUACAGAACGAAAAGGUUUCUACUAAUACUAGGAGCUCAUGACGGUACUGUAAGAAUAAGCACCGGCUAACUACGUGCCAGCCGCCGCGGUAA